AAAAAGGAUGCACAGGUGCGUUUCUCUUGGGGCAGUAACUCCGGUUAACUCCACGAUACCUGUCCAUCAAAAGGGCACUAAAGAUUUCCCUUAGAACUCCAACCACCAGUCGCAUCGGAAGCAUACCUCGCCAGACCUAAACUCGACAGAUCGCAGUCUUUUACUGUUUUCGAUUGCCUAAGAGGCGAAUUAGCGCCAUCUGCUUGCAACCAAACACAGACAAAACCCUGAUGAUCUUUGUUAUUCGUCCAAGAGUUGAUAUGAUACCGUUAUAACAGGGUAUUCAGUUUCAAGAUUGGUCGGAAUUCUUACAUUACGGCAAUUGAAUUGCUGCAAAUAAUUUACAUCAAUCCUAUAGAUUUCCAAUCGUAUCGUAAUGCGUGAUUAAUGAAACUAAGAGCACUAUUUGAGCCCAACCCCAAGUAAGUAACAACAGUUUCCCAAGAAAACGAUCAUAUUGUAGGGAAAACUCGAUAAUCGCAUAGAUGAGAAUUAGACGAUGUAAACUUUGAGCAAUUAUACAUUUGGAGAAGAAAGACACCUGGAAUACUGAACUUCUUCCAAUCUUCUUCUGUAGACCUACAACAAUGUAGGAAGAAAAAACAUGAUAUUGCUGGAUUGUAAUUACUUGUAUCUUGAUCAGAAGUUUUAACGGAUACCGUGGAAGGCUCCCAGAAAUCAACGAACCUUCUACCUAGAGAAAGGGCAUCUUCAAAUCCACACUCAUAUGUUGCACGACAUUUCAUUUCGGGGAACUGAGGAAUGUUACAAUUCAUAUAAAAUGGUUUUUCAUCACAUAUAUCGUGUUUGAC
rnacentral:lncRNA from 1 species